CCUACGGGAGGCAGCAGUGAGGAAUAUUGGUCAAUGGGCGCUAGCCUGAACCAGCCAAGUAGCGUGAAGGAUGACUGCCCUAUGGGUUGUAAACUUCUUUUAUAUGGGAAUAAAGUGCAGUAUGUAUACUGCUUUGCAUGUACCUUAUGAAUAAGGAUCGGCUAACUCCGUGCCAGCAGCCGCGGUAAUACGGAGGCUCCGAGCGUUAUCCGGAUUUAUUGGGUUUAAAUGGAGCGUAGAUGGGUUGUUAAGUCAGUUGUGAAAGUUUGCGGCGCAACCGUAAAAUGGCAAUUGAUACUGGCAGUCUUGAGUAAAGUUGAGGUAAGCGGAAUGCUGGGUGUAGCGGGGAAAUGCUUAGUUAUCACGAAGAACCCCGAUUGCGAAGGCAGCUUACGAAACUGUGACUGACAUUGAUGCUCGAAAGGGUGGGUAUCAAACAGGAUUAGAUACCCGGUAGUC
rnacentral:rRNA from 1 species